GUUGUGUCAAUGUCAUUUUCUACUUGUCAUUCCUACUGGUCGUGUGAAUGCAGCGUAGCGGGACAGAGCCGGCUGGAGCCGAUGGCGGGGCGGGACACGCUUUGGCCCGGCUCAAGAUGGAGGCCAGGAGGUGGAGAAUGCAGCGGAACGGAGAGGCGGGGCGUGCCUGGAGCGACGCUGCAGCAAUGAAAAUCAGUGUAUAAAAGGCGAGAAGGAGGAAAGAUCGAGAGGAAGAGGUGGAGUGUCCGCAGGACUGCAGCAGAAGAAAAACCCGAACGAUCAGAGAAUGAGCCCCAGGGGAAGACGACAUCACCGGCAGCUGAAAAGCCGACCAAGACGAACAGCGGAGGAAGAGGAGCUGAAAAGCGGCCCGAUCGACGCCGACGUCAAACCUGCUCGACUUGAUGUCCUUCCUAAAUGGUCCAUGCAACCCACACGGUGACGGUCUGGAGUCCUUCACAGGCACAUAUAAAGAAGUGACCCCGCUGGUCCUAACUAUAUAAACUCCUUUAAAAGGACCACCGCUGAAUAAUAGGCCACCUAAUUCCUAAUGUAUUGUUGAGAGGGUGAAAAGGACACAAUAGAAAUCUGCUGUCAGUGCAAGUUAUCUGCAGUUGAAGUAAUUGGAAAGUCUUCAGUUUAGUGUUGUUUAUGAAGAUGAGCUGCGUCAGCACCAAAAAAAAAGCAUCUUAGUACAUUGUCCCUUCCAUUGUCUCCGUCUAAUUCCUAUUUCCUAAUCUAUUUUCCAUAACCUUGAUUCUACACGUCCAGAACAAAAAAUAGUCUGGCAGUGUCUCACAGCAAUUUGUAGCUUGUCUGCAUUUAUUAUUGCUGCCUAUUUAAAUCACUUCUGUAAUUUCCCCCACAGUGUUGUGUUGAUUUGUUGUUUUUUUCCCUCUGGGAUGAACAUGAUCAAGAGAUGUGUCUUC